rnacentral:rRNA from 1 species
GGAAUUGCUAGUAAUCGCGGAUCAGCAUGCCGCGGUGAAUACGUUCCCGGGCCUUGUACACACCGCCCGUCACACCAUGAGAGUUGGCAACACCCGAAGUCAGCAGGCAAACAGUGAAGCCGCUGCCGAAGGUGGGGUUGAUGAUUGGGGUGAAGUCGUAACAAGGUACC